GAAAAAAUAAAAAUAAAAAUAAAAAUAAAAAGCUCCUCUCAAAAGGCACUCCAACAGCCAUUCCAUGUCCAUGGCCUCCUCCUCCUCCACAGCCUCCGGCGGUCUCCACCUGGAGGCGUUGCCACUCAUCGAUCUCCGCUUCCUUUCCCAAUCAGAACUCCAGGCCCUCUCUCUUACUUCUUCACACUCCUCCGAUCUCCGCCGCUGCGACGACGUUGUCAUCCCCAAAAUUGACCGCUCCAUCUUCAAUGAAAGUGCCGGUAGCCGAAAACAGACAUACUCCCGCCUCCGCCUCGCCCCUCGCAAGCCCGAUAUCGCUGCCACCAUUCCCCGCCGGCCCAGAUUCUCGCCCCACCUUAACCAGAAAGCUGCCCUUGAGCCCGUCGAUGAAGAAAACUCCUUAAUUAUCGGACUCCUUAAAGGCUUGUUCGCUACCGAGACUCACGCCGAUGACCUAAUCCCGGUUCAAGUCGAAUAUAGGGAAUCGUCUAAUGAGAUUUUGCAAAAUAUUCCCAUUGAUGUUGUUGCCGACAGUGGGAGGAAGAGGAAGCGAGGGCGACCCAAGAGCGAGAAGACGAUAGCUGUUUAUCAGAAUGGUGGAAGCGGUGAAGGUGGGGGUAUGGGGAUUAUAAAUAAUAAUGGUGUCGUCGUAGAUGUUGCGGCUUUGGCGAAUGCGGAGGACCCUUUUGGUCCGGAAUUGAGGAGGAGGACAGAGGGUUUGACCACAGAGGAAGAGUUGUUAGGGUUCUUGACGGGUCUGAGUGGGCAAUGGGGGAGUAGGAGGAAGAAGAGGAAGAUUGUGGAGGCAAGUGAUUUCGGAGAUGUAUUGCCCCAGGGUUGGAAGCUUUUGCUCUCUAUGAAGAGGAAAGAAGGCCGCGUCUGGUUAUUCUGUCGCAGAUACAUAAGCCCUAAUGGGCAGCAGUUUGUGUCCUGCAAGGAAGUUUCUUCAUGUUUGCUUUCUUUGUCUGGACUCCAAGAUGCAAGACAGCCAAAUUAUGGUCACAAUGAUGAGAAUAGUCAACUUGCCCAUCAAAUUUCUCCUGGAAAUGCAGCUGGUCUUACCCUCAAAGAUGACAAGAGUAAGGAUGGUCUUGUUUGCUCUUCACCAUCAACCGUUACUACUAUACCUACUUAUCAUGAGAAGCAAGCCACCUUAUUGAACAUGGGUAAUUCAUGGGAGGUCAAAGUGGGGGAAAUUUUGAAAUGCCAUAAAUGUGCCAUGACAUUUGAUGAGAAGGAUGAUUUAUUGCACCACCUAUCAUCAUCUCACAAUGGGACUGCAAAUAGCUGUAAACUCAGUUCAUCCAUCUGCAAUGAGGUGAUAAUGAAAGAGGGAAAAUAUGAAUGUCGGUUCUGCCAUGAGAUAUUCCAUGAAGAGAAUGGUUACAAUCGCCAUGUUGAGAUCCACACAAAAACAUCUGUUAAGAACGCUGAAACAUCAGUGCUAAAUAGUGAUCCCACUCCCUUGGAUGGACUUGUCAGUGAUUCUAUUGAGAAAACUACAAAUGGCCAAGCCAAUGAUGGAAUGAGUUUUGGUCUUACCCAUAAGACACCAAAAGCAGAUUCUAUUAAAGAAACUCAUAUUGGCAAAUCCAAUAAUUCUUUCUUUCAUAUGGGGCAGCACUUUGAGGUGACCCAAAAUGAUGGAACUUUUGCUGACGAAUCUGUUGACGAGCAGGAUAAAGAUUGUAAUACAAGAAAUGAUAGACUGGGGAAGGUGCAUGAGGCUCCUGAUAUUUUAGCUGCUAAAACUAGUCUUGCUGAAGCUGCCUUGUCCACAAGUGAGGAUAGAAGUAUUCAGAAAGCUUCCAAUGAGUCAAAUGUUCUCAAAUGCCCCACAGAUGGAAUCAAUGAAUUAUGUGGCAGCGAGGAAAGAAUUUCUGAAAGUUAUUCAGUUGCUCCUUCUGAAAAUCAGCAAACAUGCGAGGUUGAAGACAAUGUGCAUGGUGCUUCCACUAGCUUAAAGAAAGAGCUCAGGCAGGAGAUAAGUUAUGAAAGUGGUCUAGCUACUCCAAAUGAUAAAGGAGAGACAUGUGCUGAAAUUGCCGAGGAUAGGCUUUUUACUAGCACAAUCAAAGAGAUGAAAAUUGACUGCAAGGAUGAAUUUGGGCAACAUGAGCCAAUAUUUGAUUUUGACAAUUGUGCUACAUAUGGUAAAGAUAUUGCAAUUAAUGUCAAGCAGCAAAGAGUUUCUGAAGACUGCCAUUUGCCUGUUCCUUUCCCAAACGAGCAAAAAUGUGGUUUUGUUAAUAAUAUGAAUGGAGUUUUAUCUCCUCCCAUAGUGGAGUCCAAUCAGCAAAGAUGUUCUAAAAGCGUCACUCUAUCUGGCAAUAACCAGACAUAUGAUGUCAACAAUAAUGGCAGUUGGGUUUCUACUGGCACUGGCAGGCCUAGAGUUGAAGCGGACAACUCUGGGAAUAAUGAACUAACAUUUGGCUUUGGUAGCAAUCACCCUCAGCCUAAUGAGGAUGCUGUGACCUGUAUUGAGUGGGGAAUAAGUUCUGGAAGCUGUUCUCUUGUUUCAUCCUGGAAGGAUCAAACAUGCUUUAAAAAUAACACCAAUUGGGUUUCUGCUUGCACAAAACCCCUGCAGGAAAAAGGUUCUGAAAGUGGUGCUCUCACUCCAUCUUGUAAGGAACAAAUAUGGGGCGUUGAAAAUAAUGGGAAUAAGUUUUCUAUUGGCACAAUGGAUAAGCUCAAAUUUGAUGAAAUAAACAACUCUAGGAAUAGUGAGCUAAUCAUUACUUCUGGCAACAUGAGCAACACUGGAGUAGGUAUGGAUGUUGUGACAAGUGUUCAGAAGCAAAGAGGAUCUGAAGGUUAUUUAUCUAUUCUUUCUAAGAAUGAGCAAAAAAUUGGUGCUGAAAGUCCUGUUACUGGGUUUUGCAAUAGUGCAGUGGCAGAGCUCAAACUGGGAGGACAUUCUGAGAGUGGAUUUUGUAUUCAAUCUGAUGGUGAGCAAAAAUGCGGCAUUGGUAAUGAUUUGAAGAGGGUUUAUCCUGGAAGAUUCUGGGAGGUUCCAAGACUUAGGGAAGUAGAAAAUCCUAGUAAUACUGAGCUGAUGAUUGGUUUCGGCGGCAGUCAUGCCCAACCUGGUCAGGACGUCAUGGCUGAGGUUAUGUGGAGAAGUGAUGAAGAAAAUGUGCUGCAGAGUGCUUUAGGCAAUUCUUCAUCUUCAAUGGUGCUUUCAUCCAGUUGCUUUCCCACGUUUGACGUAAUCUCAGAUAAGGGGUUAAAUGGACUCUGUACUGCAAAUGAGAAGUUCAACACUGAUAGCAUAGAAAAUCUGAAAUUCAGUUCUCUGACUGCACAAAGAAACUCUCUUUCAGAAGAUUCCAAAGUAUUGUCAUAUGAUGCAGGGAUGGAACAAGGGUUCAAUUCUUCUGAAUGGCUUGAAAAGGAAACUUUGUUGCCAAAAGUAGCUGGGAGGCAUCUGGUUGCCGCAUUAUGCAUCUGGUGCAGAAAUGAGUUCCAUCAUGAGAAUGUUGGCAAUGCAACACAAACAGGUUCAACUGGUUUAAUGUGUCCAACCUGCAAGGUUAAGUUCUCAGGGGAACUCAAUUUAUUCUAGAAUGGCUUAACUCUGAACAUUCCUGCUCCCAAACUUGCUUCCAUUAUUCCUGAUCGUCGUUAUGGAUAAGAUUCCAGAUGUGAGAUGGAAGACAGAUACAUGUAUGGUAGUUCCAAGCUAAAGAGGCAAGGCUUGCAGUUCUGGUACGGCUCUUUUUUGUUUCUUGCUGGGGAUCGACUUAUCACAUUCCCUUUGUUUUUUCUUUUGUUUCCAUUUAAAUGAUUUCUCUCAUCCGCACACUGACCAUAAUUUGUGUUGCAAAUUUCCAAUAUAAUGUGGAAGUCCAUUUUCUGUCCUCAAAAGAGGGGAACAGGAAAGGCAACUUGGACGAGCAAUCAGCUUGUAGGUCGCUUUUGUUUCUUCAAUUAUCAGGGCUGCAUUAAGUUUUUCUCUUUAAUUUUGGACCACCCAGAAAGGGAGAGGAUACUUUCAUGAUGGGGACCAAAUGGCAGACACAAUAACACUUUGUUUUCACCCUCAACAAAAUCGUAGGCAUUUACAACUUAUCCAAUCACUGCUGCACCACUAGACUUAUAGAAUUGGAGCUAAUUUGUAAUUUCUUUACUACUGGCCAACUUUGCCAUCUUGUUUCACCGAUGAUGACCUCAAUCAAUGAAAUGAAAUCCUAGCUUCUCAGGAAGUGAAGCAUUGAAA